rnacentral:rRNA from 1 species
UACGUAGGGGUCUAGCGUUGUCCGGAAUUAUUGGGCGUAAAGAGCUCGUAGGCGGUUCGGCAAGUCGGAUGUGAAAUCUCCACGCUUAACGUGGAGGGGCCAUUCGAAACUGCCGUGACUCGAGUCCGGUAGGGGAGUGCGGAAUUCCCGGUGUAGCGGUGAAAUGCGCAGAUAUCUGGAGGAACACCGGUGGCGAAGGCGGCAUUCUGGACCGACAUUGACGCUGAGGAGCGAAAGCCAGGGGAGCAAACGGG